rnacentral:lncRNA from 1 species
GACCGGCCGCAGGCGCUGCUGUGAGAUGCGGCACCGCCUCUCGCGGUCCAGCCGGAAGUUUGUUUCCGCCGCGGGGUCUUCUGGGACGUGUAGUGUGGCCUGGGAGCGCCAUAGGGCCGAUCGGUUGGCCUUGAUCGCUCAGGCCCGGGCGAGGGGUGACUGCGGUGCGUCCGCCGCAGAGUCGCGGAGACCAGAACACCUGGCCGGCGGAAGGGAUGAUAGAGCGGAGUCUGAGGAGCCUGAAGAAGAGGCAUCCCAGGGCCCUGACAGCAGCCAGGCCUGUUGGGGAGAAGGGCAUGGGGGUGACCCUCCUGCCGCACAAGCUACCCAGCCAGCUUUAGCAUUUACUGGGGACAAACAGAAAGAAGAGCCAGAGGACCUAGAAUCCCUGGCGGAGGUCUGUGCUGUUUGGAUUGGUGUGAUCCUGCCUUCAACAUUGCCCCUCUUUCAAGACCUUACCCACUUUGAGAACGAACAGGACUGGAGUAAAGGCAAAGAUCUGUCCUUCCCUAAGAGGGACCCAGGGCCACAGGCACUGGUCAAGAAUCCACUGUCCUCCAUGGAGACAGACACCACCAAGGACAAGCACCUAGGUUCAUUAUCUCCUCCCUGCAAAGAGACACAGGCUGAUGGGAAAGCUGCUGACCAGCAAGGUCAUGGGCUCGCUCCUCUCUGCAAAUAGUCUCAAGGCCAAAGACAGGCUGGUGGGAAAGCUCCGACCAGCAAGGCCCUAUGCUCCCCCUCCCCUACCUAAAACCCCAAAUAAAACCCCCUCCUUUUAACUUUUUGGGGAGUUUGGGAUUUCAGAGUUAGCUGCCCUCUCUCCUUGCUCAGUGCUGUGCAAUAAUAAAAUUCCUCCUUUCUUCCACUACACCCUGUGUCAGAGAUUGGCUUGCUGCACAAUGGGUGAGCAAACUGACUUCAGGUUUGAUAUCAUUUCUAU